GUUGGUGUUCAGCGGGCAGAUACUUUUUUCUGCCACCAGAAUACAUUAGCAUGGGAUAAUGGAAUAGGACCCUGACCUCCGAUUUUGAGUGGGUUUUAAACUCAACUUCAAGGUUGGUAUCAGAUCUGGGCCAAAUGGCAUUUUGUUUAUUUUUCUUACGAAAAUUCUUUUUUUUAUUAAAAAAAAACUUCUGCGAAAAAAUUUCCCGGAUGUUUUUUUAUUUAAAAACAAAAUUGGGGGAUAAAAACAAAAAAUUCCCCCCCGUCUAACCUUAUCUAUCUGACCCCUAAU
rnacentral:rRNA from 1 species